GCUGGGCAUGGUGGAGCAUGCCUAUAAUCCCAGUGGCUCAGGAGGCUAAGGCAGGGGAAUCAUGAGUUGAAAGUCAACCUCAGCAACUUAUCAAAGCCCUAAGCAACUUAGCAAGACCCUGUCUUUA
rnacentral:sRNA from 1 species